UACGUAGGGGGCAAGCGUUGUCCGGAAUCAUUGGGCGUAAAGAGCGUGUAGGCGGCCCGAUAAGUCCGCUGUGAAAGUCCAGGCUCAACCCUGGAAUGCCGGUGGAUACUGUCGGGCUCGAAUCCGGAAGAGGUGAGUGGAAUUCCUGGUGUAGCGGUGAAAUGCGCAGAUAUCAGGAGGAACACCAAUGGCGAAGGCAGCUCACUGGGACGGUAUUGACGCUGAGACGCGAAAGCGUGGGGAGCAAACAGG
rnacentral:rRNA from 1 species